rnacentral:rRNA from 1 species
GAUGAACGCUGGCGGCGUGCCUAAUACAUGCAAGUCGAACGAGGUGCUUUUGUAGCAAUACGAGAGUAUCCUAGUGGCGAACGGGUGAGUAACGCGUUGGUGACCUACCCCAAAGUGUGGAAUAACAGUCCGAAAGGAUUGCUAAUACCGCAUGUGGUUAUCGGGUUUAGAAACUGAUAACUAAAGGAGCAAUUCGCUUUGGGAGGGACCUGCGUCCCAUCAGCUAGUUGGUGAGGUAAUGGCUCACCAAGGCUACGACGGGUAGGGGACCUGAGAGGGUGACCCCCCACAAUGGAACUGAAACACGGUCCAUACACCUACGGGUGGCAGCAGUAGGGAAUAUUGCACAAUGGGCGAAAGCCUGAUGCAGCAACGCCGCGUGCACGAUGAAGGCCUUCGGGUCGUAAAGUGCUUUUCUGGGAGAUGAGAAAGGACAGUAUCCCAGGAAUAAGUCGCGGCUAACUACGUG